rnacentral:rRNA from 1 species
GACGAACGCUGGCGGCGUGCUUAACACAUGCAAGUCGAACGGAAAGGCCCUGCUUUUGUGGGUUGCUCGAGUGGCGAACGGGUGAGUAACACGUGAGUAACCUGCCCUUGACUUUGGGAUAACUUCAGGAAACUGGGGCUAAUACCGGAUAGGACCUCCUGCUGCCUGGUGGGGGUUGGAAAGUUUCGGCGGUUGGGGAUGGACUCGCGGCUUAUCAGCUUGUUGGUGGGGUAGUGGCUUACCAAGGCCUUGACGGGUAGCCGGCCUGAGAGGGUGACCGGCCACAUUGGGACUGAGAUACGGCCCAGACUCCUACGGGAGGCAGCAGUGGGGAAGAUUGCACAAUGGGCGGAAGCCUGAUGCAGCAACGCCGCGUGCGGGAUGACGGCCUUCGGGUUGUAAACCGCUUUCGCCUGUGACGAAGCGUGAGUGACGGUAAUGGGUAAAGAAGCACCGGCUAACUACGUG